AGUCGGUGGAAUCAACAUUUCGGUCAGCAUUUAAGUCAAUUCUUAAAAUCAACGAGUAUAAUACAAGAGUAUAUACAAGACACACGAUAAAUGCCGACAUUGCAAUGACCGUGGUAAUUC